UACGUAGGUGACGAGCGUUAUCCGGAAUUACUGGGCGUAAAGCGCACGCAAGCGGUCUGACAAGUCUGGCGUGAAAUUCUCUGGCUUAACCAGGGGGGGUCGCUGGAAACUGUUGGGCUUGAGGCGAUGAGAGGGGUGCAGAAUUCCCGGUGUAGUGGUGGAAUGCGUAGAGAUCGGGAGGAAUACCAGUGGCGAAGGCGGCGACCUGGGUUGACAUUGACGCUGAGGCGCGAAAGCGUGGGUAGCAAACAGG
rnacentral:rRNA from 1 species